CAGUAGCCGCGGUAAAACGAAGGGUGCAAGCGUUACUCGGAAUUACUGGGCGUAAAGCGUGCGUAGGUGGUGGUUUAAGUCCGUUGUGAAAGCCCUGGGCUCAACCUGGGAAUUGCAGUGGAUACUGGGUCACUAGAGUGUGGUAGAGGAUAGUGGAAUUUCCGGUGUAGCAGUGAAAUGCGUAGAGAUCGGAAGGAACAUCUGUGGCGAAGGCGGCUAUCUGGGCCAACACUGACACUGAGGCACGAAAGCGUGGGGAGCAAACAGGAUUAGAUACCCGAGUAGUCCCUGUCUCUUAUAA
rnacentral:rRNA from 1 species